rnacentral:misc_RNA from 1 species
GGGWGAAGUCGUAACAAGGUAGCCGUACCGGAAGGUGUGGCUGGAACACCUCCUUUUUGGAGCUUAACUGUAACUAAGCUCUACUCUGUCUUUCAAUUAUUAUAUAAUGUGCCAUGUAAAAGUUUAAAAGACGAGUUACACAAUCGGUUCGUGACCGUAAGGCAUGUCAAAGGGAAAAAGGUGUGAACCAUUCCUUAUUAGUUCUUUGAAGUUUUGAGAGAGAUAAAGAGGUAAAAAAAAGAGAUAAAUUUUAGAUUUAUUUCGAGCAAAAAAAAUGAUUGGGUCUGUUAAAUUUAGAGAUUUAAGGGACUACAAUUUCGUAAUAGGAAGUUACUUAAGGGCGAACGGAGGAUGCCUAGGCUUCUAUGGGCGAUGAAGGACGUGCUAA